ACUAGGUGCCGUGGUGCACACCUGUAACCCCAGCUCCUCGGGAGGAGGAGGCAGGUGAAUGACUAGAGCCCAGGAGUUUGAGGCCAGCCCGGGCAACUUAGCAAGAUACUGCUUCAA
rnacentral:sRNA from 1 species